UUUGGAACUCACCUGCUUUGCUUAACCCAGAGAUCACCCUUCCCUAUAAAGCUGCUGAACUUCAGUUGUGUUAGUGGGAAGGGGAUUUUGAUCCAGGAAACUUGCACCUACCAGGAAGACUGAGAGAAACUGCAGAAUUCAUGAGUUAGAAGGAACCCCAGCAAACACCUAGACCAAACCCUACCUGAAAAAAGUCUCCAUCACAACAUUGAUCAGCAUAGAUGAGAAACAGCAUGAUAAAGUCCAUAAUAUCUAAGUUUGGAUUCUGUCUGAAACCAGCUGUGGGAUAUGUCCCAGGGUCCUCGGGGAGCCAAUCAGUCAUCAAUGGGUCUGAUUAACAAAACUGCGGCAGCUAAUCUGAGCACUCUGGAAAGUUUCAUGCUCCACUUAAAAAUUUCAUAUUUCUUCAGAGACAGCCAGGAAUAACCUGUCACUCAACUCUUGCAAUAAAAAGACUUGGGUAGAAUGAAGAGAAAAUAAAUCAGAAGGCUUUUUCUUAGAAGUUCACUAAAAUAAAACAAUGUUCCCCAA